CCUACGGGUGGCUGCAGUGGGGAAUAUUGGACAAUGGGCGAAAGCCUGAUCCAGCCAUGCCGCGUGUGUGAAGAAGGCCUUCGGGUUGUAAAGCACUUUCAGUGGGGAAGAAAGCCUUGGGGCUAAUACCCUCGAGGAAGGACAUCACCCACAGAAGAAGCACCGGCUAACUCCGUGCCAGCAGCCGCGGUAAUACGGAGGGUGCGAGCGUUAAUCGGAAUUACUGGGCGUAAAGCGCGCGUAGGCGGUCUGAUAAGCCGGUUGUGAAAGCCCCGGGCUCAACCUGGGAACGGCAUCCGGAACUGGCAGGCUAGAGUGCAGGAGAGGAAGGUAGAAUUCCCGGUGUAGCGGUGAAAUGCGUAGAGAUCGGGAGGAAUACCAGUGGCGAAGGCGGCCUUCUGGACUGACACUGACGCUGAGGUGCGAAAGCGUGGGUAGCAAACAGGAUUAGAUACCCGGGUAGUC
rnacentral:rRNA from 1 species